rnacentral:rRNA from 1 species
UGGGGAAUAUUGGGCAAUGGGCGAAAGCCUGACCCAGCAACGCCGCGUGAGUGAUGAAGGCCUUCGGGUUGUAAAACUCUUUGGACAGGGACGAAGAAAGUGACGGUACCUGUAGAACAAGCCACGGCUAACUACGUGCCAGCAGCCGCGGUAAUACGUAGGUGGCGAGCGUUAUCCGGAUUUACUGGGCGUAAAGGGCGUGUAGGCGGCUAGAUAAGUGUGAUGUUUAAAUCCAAGGCUUAACCUUGUGGUUCAUUACAAACUGUUUAGCUUGAGUGCUGGGGAGGAUAGUGGAAUUCCUAGUGUAGCGGUAACAUGCGUAGAUAUUAGGAGGAACACCGGUGGCGAAGGCGGCUAUCUGGACAGUAACUGACGCUGAGGCGCGAAAGCGUGGGUAGCAAACAGG